rnacentral:rRNA from 1 species
GGAGACAGGUAAGACUGUCCAUCAUAUCUUAUGACACAUUACCUCGGGUGGUGGAUACCUAUAAAUUAGAAUGAUAGCAGGAGGAGGUGUGUGGGCAUACGAGACAAAGGGGGUAAAUGUAAGAGAGAGAGAGAGGUAGCGGUAACAACGAAGACUUCAAGAAGGGAGACCAAUACUCAUGAAUCUAAACUUCGGUGCCUCGUCGACAUCUUGUAGAUUCUAGACUAAAAUGACCGCCUACUCUAGUUGCGUGACUGACCAUAGAGAGACAGUUAGUAAAAGGUUUCUUGAUUCGACCUGGCGUUUGAGGAAAGAUGGCCACCACCAUAGCGGCGACUCUUUUCGUUUAUUCCAAUUAUACCUAUAACUCUCCCUGUUGUAAGGUCCUUCAAAAUACCUUGAUGACUUGUACCAACUCGUCGGGUACAGUUUAAAGUUAGUUCUUUUGUGAUACUUGAGUCAUGGUCUUCUUUCAAGCACGAAAAGACUAUCUGGUAUAACAAGUCUUCUGUGACUACAUGAAAGCUCUGGAUUGAAUUCCCAACUGUGAAUACUAAUACAGCUACUGAGUUUACUUCAAGUCAGGUCAGAACUUACAUACUUUCUUUUUCAACGCUAACGACUAUACUAUAGACGGGGACUUUUAGAACUGCUCGUCAUGAAUAAAAGACGUAUGUUACAAGUCUAACUCCUCAGUCUAAGAUUACUUGCUAUGGAACUUCCUCCUGUUCAACCUCGACACCUUGUGCCUUAAUCUUCAAAAACACUUCUGUGUAGACAAGUUUACAAUUCCGGCCAACAACCAUACUUCAAAAGUAGUUUCCGUCUUCGUAUACUGAAGAUGUUAUGUAUAAGAACCCACGAACCAAAGUCAUAAGCCUUACCACUAUUAAUAUAAUUAACGUUACCGCAUGUCUGUUACGUCCUUAAUUAAACGGUUGCUCGUGGGUCUAGGGGUGGCCGGUACGACCGCCGCUCUUGGGACUCUGCCUGUUCGCUGACACGGAGGUGGAAGGUCUACUGCGGAGCGGCGUUCUUCUUCUGCGCCCCUGAACCUACAACUGGUACUGCUGCCGCAGGAAGAGCACACCAAGCUCAAGCUCGAGUUCCGGCUCCACCGACAGGAACCCCUGCGUGAGGAGAAGCUGUCAGACUGAGUAGCAUUUACCGUCCUGCGUGGUGCACAGAAUGAUCGGCCUGCGCAGGAAGCUGCCGCGUGUUGCCGCAGUACGCUGCUGUCCUGCGAUGUAGUCGGCUCCUGACCGGCGGCUCAGUCACAGGGGAGGUGGGUCGUACCGAGAUGAAUUAUCAGGUUUACUUUCUAUCUAUUUUUGUCUACAUCUUGAUCGUAGGUAAAACUUGGUAUACAAACUAUGACGUCGGGCACAAGUUCUUGAUAACAUGACGUUUGUGUUCCUUCCUACACGUCCGACCAUAACAGAGGAACUUUGGUGAGUUUAUUUCUCCUGAGAGUUCCAAUAAAAGACCUCGACCCCAGGGAACCACUAAGAACUAACAUCGACUCUAUUGGUAUCGACUUUUAGAGAUAUAAUUACUUUCAACUUCACAACAGUGUAAGUCUUCUUUUUUUUUCCAUGUUAACCAGAAAGAAUCAACUAUCGUAAACUAUAUACGGUAUACGAUUAAUUACGAACCGACGGUGACAAGAUACGAAACUACGUGUUAGGUUAUAAAGUGUCGUUACACUCUAUUACUUACACUUAUAAGGAGAAGCUGUGUGUUACCAUUCGUAUACGUACGUCGUACGUACGGGUUUCUAAACAUCAGAGAGAUUAUGAACACAUGGAAGUAAACAUGUAAAAGUAGGAAAAUAUCAGUUUUAUUUGCCCGCGUCGUCGCGCGCGGUAGUUACUAGAUCACCCAGUAUAAUCACUUCUGUUAAGUACCAUACCAUCCGUUGGUGUAUCGAGUGAAACGUCUCACGGUUUUUAAGCGGUCUUUCCUACAACUCUCUCAAAAACCACACGAAAUCUUACCAAACGCUAAUCACCGGGUCAACUCAUGAUGGGUAAUCAUGAUACCAUCUAGUACUGUUGUACAUAACAGUACGUGGUGCACUAGUAGCUCAUACUCUCCCCUGUUGGUUUUUUUUAAGCCACGGAGAUAUUACCCCUUGUACAGAUCGGUGUUGUAGUUCGUUUGUACUGGGUUUCUAAGGACCGUAGCGUAGUGCUCUAGUUCUUCGAGCAGUGGUUGAGGAUCUACUAGUACAACUCGUGAACACCGUUGAAGUAUUGUGAACUAAGAACAUGAAAAUAGUACAAAAUAAACCC